UAUACGGGAGGCAGCAGUAGGGAAUCUUCGGCAAUGGACGAAAGUCUGACCGAGCAACGCCGCGUGAGUGAAGAAGGUUUUCGGAUCGUAAAACUCUGUUGUUAGAGAAGAACAAGGAUGAGAGUAACUGUUCAUCCCUUGACGGUAUCUAACCAGAAAGCCACGGCUAACUACGUGCCAGCAGCCGCGGUAAUACGUAGGUGGCAAGCGUUGUCCGGAUUUAUUGGGCGUAAAGCGAGCGCAGGCGGUUUCUUAAGUCUGAUGUGAAAGCCCCCGGCUCAACCGGGGAGGGUCAUUGGAAACUGGGAGACUUGAGUGCAGAAGAGGAGAGUGGAAUUCCAUGUGUAGCGGUGAAAUGCGUAGAUAUAUGGAGGAACACCAGUGGCGAAGGCGGCUCUCUGGUCUGUAACUGACGCUGAGGCUCGAAAGCGUGGGGAGCAAACAGGAUUAGAUACCCUGGUAGUCCACGCCGUAAACGAUGAGUGCUAAGUGUUGGAGGGUUUCCGCCCUUCAGUGCUGCAGCUAACGCAUUAAGCACUCCG
rnacentral:rRNA from 1 species